CCUACGGGAGGCAGCAGUGAGGAAUAUUGGUCAAUGGACGAGAGUCUGAACCAGCCAAGUAGCGUGAAGGAUGACUGCCCUAUGGGUUGUAACCUUCUUUUAUAUGGGAAUAAAAUGUUCCACGUGUGGGAUUUUGUAUGUACCCUAUGAAUAAGGAUCGGCUAACUCCGUGCCCGCAGCCGCGGUAAUACGGAGGAUCCGAGCGUUAUCCGGAUUUAUUGGGUUUAAAGGGAGCGUAGGUGGAUUGUUAAGUCAGUUGUGAAAGUUUGCGGCUCAACCGUAAAAUUGCAGUUGAAACUGGCAGUCUUGAGUACAGUAGAGGUGUGAGGAAUUCGUGGUGUAGCGGUGAAAUGCUUAGAUAUCACGAAGAACUCCGAUUGCGAAGGCAGCUCACUGGACUGCAACUGACACUGAGGCUCGAAAGUGUGGGUAUCAAACAGGAUUAGAUACCCGAGUAGUC
rnacentral:rRNA from 1 species